GACGAACGCUGGCGGCGUGCUUAACACAUGCAAGUCGAACGGAAAGGCCCUGCUUGCAGGGUACUCGCGUGGCGAACGGGUGUGUAACACGCGGGUGAUCUGCCCUGCACUUCGGGAUAAGCCUGGGAGACUGGGUCUCAUAUCGGAUAUGAGCCCUUCUUCUUGUGAUGGUUGGAUAGUUUUUUCGGUGUAGGAUGAGCUCGCGGCCUAUCAGCUUGUUGGUGGGGUGAUGGGCUACCAAGGCGGCGACGGGUAGCCAGCCUGGGAGGGUGGACGGCCACAAUGGGGCUGAGAAACGGCCCAGGCCCCCACGGGGAGCAGGAGGGGGGAAUAAUGCACAAUGGGCGCAAGCCUGAUGCAAGGACGCCGGGGGGGGGAUGACGGCCUUCGGGUUGUAAACCCCUUUCGGUAGGGACGAAGCUGUUUGUGACGGUACCUAGAUAAGAAGCACCGGCUAACUACGUG
rnacentral:rRNA from 1 species